GAUGAACGCCAGCGGGAGGCCUAAUACAUGCAAGUCGAACGGUAACAGGGUAGCAAUACCGCUGACGAGUGGCGCACGGGUGAGUAACACGUACACAAUCUGCCUUAUACUGGGGCAUAUCCUCGGGGAAACUGAGAGUAAUUCCCCAUAACAUAUUGAAAAGGCAUCUUUUAAUAUAAACUACCGUGGUAUAAGAUGAGUGUGCGCCUGAUUAGCUAGUUGGNGAGGUAACGGCUCACCAAGGCAAC
rnacentral:rRNA from 1 species